rnacentral:lncRNA from 1 species
UAAAUUUUAUUUUUAAAAAUGUUAUUUUUGUAGUGGGAUGGUGAAGUUUUGUCUCAUUAUUUUUAUUAUGCAUGUGAAUAUCAAAAAUUAGCUAAAGAUGUGAAGUUUUAUCUAACUGAAAUUACGAACUUUGUUUUGUAUGCACUGUUAAUGAGUGGAUGGAGUGAUUGAAAGAAUAAUAGGAAAGAAUAUUUUAGGAUAAGAUGAAAAAUUAGCCUAAUCUAGCUUUGAUUUAAUAAAGGAUCUUGUUACCUUACAUAAUUAUGUAAGGUACAUAAAUCUUCCACAACUAUCGAUGAAAAUCUAAUGGUCGUGGAAAUAUAAAAUAAUAUAAUCUUAUUAUUUUUACAGCUCAUCAAACAAUUGUGGAAAGAUUAUAUACCUUACCUUAUUAUGUAGGGUAAUUAAAACCUUUAAUAAAAUGUACAACCUCAAAUUAUAACAUCCGAGUGGCGAGCCAAUGGUCUCACCUCCCCUGGUUCUUCACUUGGGGAUUCAAUUUAAUUUCCAUUGCUUAAAGUCUCCCCUCAAUUCAAUUAAUUUCCUCUCCCACAUUUAUGAGUAGAGGUUAAUACAUCUCCCCAUAUAUAGUGAAGUAGAGAGAUUUUCGAGCAUAGCUCCUAGAUCUUUAUCCUAAACUAUAUGAUCCCUCAAGGGACCUAACUAAAGUAAUUUUUUAAAUAGUUUUCAAAAAUUAGUUUAGACUUUAUUCAUCCUUUACUUUUAAAAUAAAUAAAAAAUAUUUAAAGAAUAUUCAUUCAUUUAACAAUAAUCCAAAUUGUGUACUUAUAAAAAAGUAUAAUAAAAGAUUUCACGUUAUAUUUAAGAAAAAAAUAAAAGUAAAUUUCAUUUUUUAAAAUUUAAUUUUUGUAGUGGGAUGGUGAAGUUUUGUCUCAUUAUUUUUAUUAUGCAUGUGAAUGUCAAAAAUUAGAGAAAGAUGUGAAGUUUUAUCUAACUGAAGUUACUAACUUUGUUUUGUAUACACUGUUAAUGAGUGGAUGGAGUGAUUUGAAAGAAUAAUAGGAAAGAAUAUUUUGGGAUAAGAUGAAAAAAUUAGCCCAAUCUAGCAAUUAAGGAUCUUGUUACCUUACAUAAUCAUGUAAAGUACAUAAAUCUUCCACAACUGUUUGAUGAAAAUCCAACAGUUGUGGAAAUAUAAGAUAAUAAAAUUUUAUUAUUUUCACAACCGUUAGAUGUUCAUCAAAUGGUUACGGAAGAGUUAUGUAUCUUACCUUAUUAUGUAAGUUAACUAUAACCUUUAAUAAAAUUUACAACCUCAAAUUAUAUCAUCCCUGACAAUUGGCGAGCCAGUGGUCUCACCUCCCUUGGUUCUCCACUUGGGGAUUCAAUUUAAUUUCCAUUGGUUAAAGUCUCCCCCAAAUCCAAUUAAUUUCCUCUCCCACAUUUAUGAGUAGAGGUUAAUACAUCUCCCCAUAUAUAUUGAAGUUGAGAGAUUUUCGAGCAUAACUCCUAAAUCUUUAUCGUAAACUAUAUGAUCACUCAAGGGACCUAACUAAAGAAAUUUUUAAAUAGUUUUCAAAAACUAGUUUAGACUUUAUCCAUCCGUUUACUUUUAAAAUAAAUAAGAAAGUAUUUAAAGAAUAUACAUCUAUUUAACAAUAACUCAAAAUGUGUACUUAUAUAUCCAAAAGAACAAAAAAGUUUGUCACUUCAAAUGUAGAUUUUCAACAUUACUAAUGAAGUAAUUAUGAUUAAGUAGUGAUAUAUGUACAAAUUUUAUAGUCCAACUAAUGUAUCACCGAUAUAUUAUUGAUAAAAAAAAGUGAUGAUGCAAAAAAGACUAAUUAUCACAUGACUAUAUAAGAUAAUGUCACAUGAAUUAGAAUAAAAAUUUAAUUAAAUAGAUAUCAUUAUUGAAAUGGUAAAAGUUAUUGUUUGAGUGAUUUUUUUUAAGUUUCUAUUGACACUUAUAAUGAAAAAUUACUUAAAUCAAUUUUGUGAGAAAGACUUGAACUCUGUAAUAAUUGAAGUGAUUUACCAUUGAUUAUUACAUGUUCAUACUACGUUAAAUUAAUAAUAUUAUGGUAUAAAAUUUACAUCUAACUCGUGUAAAACUUGAUGUAAUACAUUCAAAUUGGUGUUACAUAAUUAUCACAUCACAUUCAUUAAAUACAAAUUUUGUGUUAAAUAUGCAUUACUUGAUCAUUCAAAAUCUACCAUAAUACAAAGUUCGGCUUUAGAUUGCACUCAAAACAUAUUUGUUAUUCAUGAUUCAUGAAUGCUUUCCAAUAAUCAAUGCUUCAAUAGUAUUGUUAGGUCUAAUAUUUAUCACUUAUCAUCAUCAUAUGAUUAAAAUGAAUUAAAAAAGUAAUAUUUGUUAUAAUAUCAAAAGCGCUCGCCAUCCAUGAGUUUUUUAACAUUCCUAUAAAAAAAAUAAUUUAUGAGCAAUUAUAUAUUCUAUCAAAAGGACAAAGUUGACUAAUUCGGCUUUAGAAUUAGGGAUGGCAAUGGGGAGGGGACCGAUCUCCCCGUACCCAUCCCCGAUAUUUUGCGUAUGUCCCCAUCCCCUCCCCGUCCCCGUCAGAAUUACUUGAGAGAAUCAUCAUCCCCUCCCCGAAUAAUAACAGGGGAUCUCCGAGGGUCCCCGAUCCCCGAAUAACUAAUAUAUUUUUUUUCGAUUUUGAGUUAAAUCAUAUUAAAAUAAAAAAUUCAAAUAAAAGUAAAGUUCAAAAUAUAUCUUAAAUUAAUAUCUAUUACAAAAGUCACAUACAUUAAAUUAGUAAGUAACGCAACAUGCAAUGGAUACAAACUUCUUUUACAAACUAUCAUGAACAAAUUAAUAGUCUAAUACAAAAUUGUUACAAAUAAAAUCGAAUUUAGAUUCAAAAUUAACUUUUUCAAUGGUGGCGUGGGCACUUUAUAAAUGUGGACUAUUCCCUUUACAACAUAAUAGUUAAAUCGGAGCAAAUCAAAAGCAAAUAUUAGAUUAGAUUAGAUUAGAUAUUAAAAUUGUGAUUCGCUGUGGGCAAUUAUAACAUCUAAA